CACGUAGGGUGCGAGCGUUGUCCGGAAUUAUUGGGCGUAAAGAGCUCGUAGGCGGUGUGUCGCGUCGGCCGUGAAAACCUGCAGCUUAACUGUGGGCUUGCGGUCGAUACGGGCAUCACUGGAGUUCGGCAGGGGAGACUGGAAUUCCUGGUGUAGCGGUGGAAUGCGCAGAUAUCAGGAGGAACACCUAUGGCGAAGGCAGAUCUCUGGGCCGUAACUGACGCUGAGGAGCGAAAGCAUGGGGAGCGAACAGG
rnacentral:rRNA from 1 species